CAGCCAUUUCACAUUGAAAUACCAGUUCUCAUAUUCUCACCAAAGUUAAGCAACACAGAGCCUAGUCAGUACAUAGAUGUGUGAUCACUUGGAAAUACCAGGUGCUGCAAG